GGCGAGGAUUCAGCGGGAACAUCGUCGCCGCGUCUCCGCCGCCGCCGUAGUGGAAGAUGUACAGCUGCCGGCCGUUCCAGUCGGCCUCGUCGGCGC
rnacentral:tRNA from 1 species